GCGGAUGAUGACUAGCUAGGAUUAGGAUCAAAACACCAUUUAAGGCACAUUUUCACCUAAUUAACUGAAGCAGAUGCAGGAUCCGAAGUCUUCGACUCAGGCUCAGACGAACCGAGAGUCCUUUCUAUCCUAUCCUUAGUCACAGCGAAUUAGACUUUUUAGCUAUACCUCUGCCCAUAAAAAGAGAACUUUUUUAUCUCCAAAUGCACCACCCAAUCUCGUCUCGCGUGGCUGUCACUGACCACUGUGCUCCUCUAGGCUAGCGUGCUUACCCCUCACCACUUGCCACUUGGCGUUUUCUUUGCCAACAUGUCCUGUAGGUUCACAUGGGUAACCAAAGACUAAGAAGGAUAUACUGGAAGUUUCCUAGCAUCCCGACGUUUUGCUGAUAACUCAGUCUCUGAAAUAAGCACGCCCCUGAAUACCUCAUGAAACCGUGCACCAAGCUCAAACCAAGCCAUCAACUAAUCCGAACUCGAAAGUCUGUAGCUGCUGAACGUAGCCAACAAGUAGGACAAGUCGAAAGUAAGGGUAUCAGAUCGAGCUUUCUUCCGGGUGUAGCACCAUAGCCC